rnacentral:tRNA from 1 species
UUUGAAGUAGCUUAAAACCUAAAGCAUAAAACUGUAAAUUUUAUUAUACUAAUCAUCCAAA